rnacentral:lncRNA from 1 species
AUAUUAAGUAUAUCUAUUUGUCAUUAAUAGAUAUGGAUACAAAUUAGAUAUUUUGGAUAUUAAGGAUGCAUAUCUACUUUUUUAAAUCCAAAUAUGGAUAUAAAUUGAAUACUAUUUUGGAUAUUAAUAAGAUUGGAAUUCAAUACUGAGAGCCAGUCAUAAUGGGAUGCUCAUAAAGGAUAGAUUUAAUGUAAAAAAAAUAAUUUUAAUAAGCAUUAAUUGAAGCA